rnacentral:rRNA from 1 species
GAGUUUGAUCGUGGCUCAGAUUGAACGCUGGCGGCAUGCCUUACACAUGCAAGUCGAACGGCAGCACGGGAGCUUGCUCCUGGUGGCGAGUGGCGAACGGGUGAGUAAUACAUCGGAACGUAUCCUGGAGUGGGGGAUAACGUAGCGAAAGUUACGCUAAUACCGCAUAUUCUGUGAGCAGGAAAGCGGGGGACCUUCGGGCCUCGCGCUCUUGGAGCGGCCGAUGUCGGAUUAGCUAGUUGGUGAGGUAAAGGCUCACCAAGGCGACGAUCCGUAGCAGGUCUGAGAGGAUGAUCUGCCACACUGGAACUGAGACACGGUCCAGACUCCUACGGGAGGCAGCAGUGGGGAAUUUUGGACAAUGGGGGCAACCCUGAUCCAGCCAUGCCGCGUGAGUGAAGAAGGCCUUC